AGAGCGUAGGGUGAAUGCCUAGGCACCAAGAGCCGAUGAAGGACGUGAUAAGCUGCGAAAAGCUAUGGGGAGGAGCAAAUAUCCAUCGAACCAUAGAUAUCCGAAUGAGGAAACUCAAUUAGCAAAAAUAAGCUAAUUAUCCAUACAUGAGUAAAGUAGUGUAUGCGAAGGGAACGUGGGGAACUGAAACAUCUAAGUACCCACAGGAAAAGAAAGAAAACUCGAUUCCUAGAGUAGUGGCGAGCGAAAUAGGAGGAGCCUAAACUGAGAGUAGUAAUACUUUCAGGGUUUGGACUACAUAAUCGAUCUAAUAAGUCUAAUAGAAAUGUUUUGGAAAAGCAUACCAUAGAAGGUGAAAGUCCGGUAUAUGAAAGAUGAGUUAGCGAGGUAGUAUCCAGAGUAGCACGAGGCACGUGAAAUCUCGUGUGAAUAAGCGGGGACCAUCCCGUAAGGCUAAAUACUACUUGGUGACCGAUAGUGAAAUAGUACCGUGAGGGAAAGGUGAAAAGGACCCCGGGAGGGGAGUGAAAUAGAACCUGAAACCCUAUGUUUACAAGCAGAUAGAGCACGUUAAAGUGCAAUAUCGUACUUUUUGUAGAACGGUCCAGCGAGUUAUUGUAUAUGGCAAGAUUAAGUACUAUGUAAGGUAUGGAGUCGAAGCGAAAGCGAGUCUGAAUAGGGCGAUUAAGUCAUAUAUAAUAGACCCGAAACCGGGUGACCUAUCCAUGGUCAGGAUGAAGCUAGAGUAAAAUCUAGUGGAGGUCCGAACUGAUUGUCGUUAAAAAGGCACCGGAUGAACUGUGGAUAGCGGAGAAAUUCCAAUCGAACUCGGAGAUAGCUGGUUCUCCUCGAAAUAGCUUUAGGGCUAGCCUUGAGGUUAAGAUAUAUGGGGGUAGAGCACUGAAUGAGCUAGGGGCCUAACCAGGUUACUGAACUCUAUCAAACUACGAAUACCAUAUAUUAUACUCAGGAGUCAGACUGCGGGAGCUAAGUUCCGUGGUCAAAAGGGAAAGAGCCCAGAUCGUCAAUUAAGGUCCCAAAGAUAUAGCUAAGUGGAAAACGAUGUGAUUUUGCGUAAACAACCAGGAUGUUGGCUCAGAAGCAGCCAUACAUUUAAAGAGUGCGUAACAGCUCACUGGUCGAGUGAAGUUGCGCGGAAAAUUACCGGGGCUAAGCUAUACACCGAAAUUGCGGAUUUACAUUUGAAAUAAAAUGUAAGUGGUAGAGGAGCAUUCUGUUGUAGGACGAAGCAUGAUCGAGAGGACAUGUGGACGAAGCAGAAGAGAGAAUGCUGGAAUAAGUAGCGAGAGCAAGGUGAGAAUCCUUGCCGUCGAAAAUCUAAGGUUUCCUGGGGAAGGUUCGUCCGCCCAGGGUAAGUCGGGACCUAAGGAGAGGCCGAAAGGCGUAUCCGAUGGACAGCAGGUUGAGAUUCCUGCACUACAGAUAUACUUAAAAGAUGCAAGGGACACAGGAGUGGAAGAUAAGCGAGGAAGAGGAAAAACUCGUAUCGCAAGAUAUAGUGAAAAUUAUAAGUAACGAAUUAUCAAGAAGCACACUGACGAGAAAAGCUUGUAGAUAUUGUAUAAAAGUACCCGUACCGCAAACCGACACAGGUAGAUGAGGAGAGGAUCCUAAGACGAACGGGAGAAGCAUUGUUAAGGAACUCGGCAAAUUGACCCCGUAACUUCGGAAUAAGGGGUGCCUAUGUAAAAGUAGGCCGCAGAGAAUAGGCCCAAGCAACUGUUUAACAAAAACACAGGUUUCUGCUAAAUCGAAAGAUGAAGUAUAGGAGCUGACGCCUGCCCAGUGCUGGAAGGUCAAGGGGAAGAGUUAGGGUUAAACCGAAGCUUAGAACCAAAGCCCCAGUGAACGGCGGCCGUAACUAUAACGGUCCUAAGGUAGCGAAAUUCCUUGUCAGGUAAGUUCUGACCCGCACGAAAGGCGUAAUGAUUUGGGCACUGUCUCGACAAUGUACCCGGCGAAAUUGUAGUACUAGUGAAGAUGCUAGUUACCUGCGACAAGACAGAAAGACCCCAUGGAGCUUUACUGCAGCUUGAUACUGGGUUUUGAUAAUUUAUGUACAGGAUAGGUGGGAGACUGAGAAAGCAGAGCGUCAGCUUUGCUGGAGUCACUGUUGGGAUACCACCCUUAAGUUACUGAAAUUCUAACCAUGAAUCGUAAACCGGUUCGGGGACAAUGUCAGG
rnacentral:rRNA from 1 species